GUCCACGCCCUAAACGAUGCGAACUGGACGUUGGGAGCAAUCAGGCUCUCAGUGUCGAAGCUAACGCGUUAAGUUCGCCGCCUGGGGAGUACGGUCGCAAGACUGAAACUCAAAGGAAUUGACGGGGGCCCCGCACAAGCGGUGGAGUAUGUGGUUUAAUUCGAUGCAACGCGAAGAACCUUACCUGGCCUUGACAUCCACGGAAUCCUUUAGAGAUAGAGGAGUGCCUUCGGGAACCGUGAGACAGGUGCUACAUGGCUGUCGU
rnacentral:rRNA from 1 species